AGGACGAACGCUGGCGGCGUGCUUAACACAUGCAAGUCGAACGGAAAGGCCCUUUCGGGGGUACUCGAGUGGCGAACGGGUGAGUAACACGUGGGUGAUCUGCCCUGCACUUCGGGAUAAGCUUGGGAAACUGGGUCUAAUACCGGAUAGGACUACGGACUUCAUGGUUUGUGGUGGAAAGCUUUUGCGGUGUGGGAUGGGCCCGCGGCCUAUCAGCUUGUUGGUGGGGUGAUGGCCUACCAAGGCG
rnacentral:rRNA from 1 species